CCUCAGCAUAUACUUCCUGUGAGCUCUUGUUCUGAAGAUGUCGGCGAGCAGGAGGCAAUCUUCUAUUGCUGUGGUGCUGCUGCUAGUGUUCCUUCAACUCAUCAGUUCGCUCGCCCGACCUCCAUGCGAUUAUCUUCGUCCAGGAACCUGUCGCUAUAAGAAACCAUGAAGUGGAGUUGAAAAAUGCGUGCAUGAUUCAUGCUUGCUUCGUUGGUUCAUAUUACCUUAUAUAGAUUGUUAUGUUUUUCUGGAGAAUUAUGCGUGCUGUGAGGAAUGGUUAGUCCAGUUUGUUGGCAAUGUAAAAUAUGUGAAGUUUAAAAUCACAUCACGGUGCAUUUUGAUGGAA